GUUUAAAGCAAUUUAUUCAUAUUUUAAGUAGGACUAAAUAAAAUGUGCAAAGUAUAUCAUAACCACUUU
rnacentral:sRNA from 1 species